GCGCCCUUAGCUCAGUUGGAUAGAGCAACGGCCUUCUAAGCCGUGGGUCGCAGGUUCGAAUCCUGCAGGGUGCGCCA
rnacentral:tRNA from 34 species